rnacentral:rRNA from 1 species
UACAGAGGUCUCAAGCGUUUGUUCGGAUUCAUUGGGCGUAAAGGGUGUGUAGGUGGCGCCGUAAGUCGGGUGUGAAAUUUCGGAGCUUAACUCCGAAACUGCAUUCGAUACUGCGGUGCUUGAGGACUGGAGAGGAGACUGGAAUUCAUGGUGUAGCAGUGAAAUGCGUAGAGAUCAUGAGGAAGACCAGUGGCGAAGGCGGGUCUCUGGACAGUUCCUGACACUGAGGCACGAAAGGCCCAGGGGAGCAAACGGG